rnacentral:rRNA from 1 species
CACGUAGGGGGCAAGCGUUGUCCGGAAUUAUUGGGCGUAAAGAGCUCGUAGGCGGCUCGGUAAGUCAGGUGUCAAAUCCUCAGGCUCAACCUGGGGCUCCACCUGAUACUGCUGUGGCUAGAGUCCGGUAGGGGAGCGUGGAAUUCCUGGUGUAGCGGUGAAAUGCGCAGAUAUCAGGAGGAACACCAGCGGCGAAGGCGGCGCUCUGGGCCGGAACUGACGCUGAGGUGCGAAAGCGUGGGGAGCAAACAGG